UGUAGCUCAGUGGUAGAGUGCCUGCCUAGCAAGCAUGAGGCUCUGGGUUCAAUCCCCAGUA
rnacentral:tRNA from 1 species